rnacentral:rRNA from 1 species
CGAUCUGUAACCGACCUGAGAGGGUGGUCGGUCACACUGACASUGAAUMACGGGUCARACUCCUACGGGAGGCAGCAGUCGGGAAUUUUGGGCAAUGGGCGAAAGCCUGACCCAGCAACGCCGCGUGAAGGAUGAAGUCUUUCGGGAUGUAAACUUCGUAAGAAUAGGAAGAAUAAAUGACGGUACUAUUUGUAAGGUCCGGCUAACUACGUGCCAGCAGCCGCGGUAAUACGUAGGGMCCAAGCGUUGUUCGSAUUMACUGGGCGUAAAGGGCCCGUAGGCGGUUUGUCAAGUCAGUUGUGAAAUCUCCGAGCUUAACUCGGAACGGUCAACUGAUACUGRCAAACUAGAGUCCAGAAGGGGCAAUCGGAAUUCUUGGUGUAGCGGUGAAAUGCGUAGAUAUCAACAGGAACACCUGAGGUGAAGACGGGUUG